UACGUAGGCAGCAAGCGUUGUUCGGAGUUACUGGGCGUAAAGGGUGCGUAGGCGGCCUUAUAAGUAUGGUGUGAAAUCUCCCGGCUUAACUGGGAGGGUGCGCUAUAGACUGUGGGGCUAGAGUGUGGGAGAGGAAAGUGGAAUUCCUGGUGUAGCGGUGAAAUGCGUAGAUAUCAGGAGGAACACCGGUGGUGUAAACGGCUUCUGGACCAUAACUGACGCUGAGGCACGAAAGCGUGGGUAGCGAACAGG
rnacentral:rRNA from 1 species